rnacentral:rRNA from 1 species
AUUGAACGCUGGCGGCAGGCCUAACACAUGCAAGUCGAGCGGAGCGGCGGACGGGUGAGUAAUGCCUAGGCAUCUGCCUGGUAGUGGGGGAUAACGUCCGGAAACGGGCGCUAAUACCGCAUACUAUCAGAUGAGCCUAGGUGGGGUUAGCUAGUUGGUGGGGUAAAGGCCUCCCAAGGCGACGAUCCGUAACUGGGCUGAGAGGAUGACCAGCCACACUGGAACUGGGACACGGUCCAGACUCCUACGGGAGGCAGCAGUGGGGAAUAGUGCACAAUGGGCGCAAGCCGGAUGCAGCCAUGCCGCGUGUAUGAAGAAGGCCUUCGGGUUGUAAAGUACUUUCAGCGGGGAGGCGUUACCCGCAGAAGAAGCACCGGCUAACUCCGUGCCAGCCGCCGCGAUAAUUC